CUGUUCGUUUUUAUCAAACCCAUAGGGAUUGAGAGGGAUUGAAUCCCCAAUAAGUCAAAAUCGGUAAGCCAAGCGCUUUGCCCGUCGCCGCCAGAGCAGCCGCUACCGCCCUGCAUCGUCGACUAGCCAGUCGGCUACACCGGAAAGCCAUCCUGGGUGCCUACUCGUCCAUGAAUCGGGAUGUCAGAUCGGAUCGAUCCGGUUUGGAAACACAUGGAUAACAUAUAUAUCGAAUUCAAGUACAGGUAUUGCAAAAAACAUUAGAAGGGGGCAACACUACACGUUUUGAACAACACCUUACAUUGCGUGGGGGGAAUGUGCAAGAUUGUCGUAAUGUUCCGUCAGAAGUUGCCAAUUACUUUUGGCGGGAGAUUGACAAGGGCCAAUAUAAAAGGAAAGUAAGAAUGGUAAAGGAGGUACGAAGGUUGGCAUUGGCGGGUUUAUCUCGUGGUUCUGAUGAUGACAAUGACAAUAAGUUGCAGGCCACAUUGCGUGCUUCGAGAAAGGAUGAGGAGCUUAGGAGGUGUGCUCGCGCGAGUGGUGGCACGUGUGGGGUGGUGGCUCCUGCCAAGCUGAUGUGUAUACCAUGUUUGAGAGAACAUUUUUUUUGGAAGGACAAACCACAUAUGGCGUAGACAAGGAUUGAUAAGGGCCCUCUUUCGAAGGCAGGAAAGAAUGUGGUCCUUUUUGUUGGUAAGCAAUGGGCUAAGUGGUUCCAUACUUAGGCAAUUCCAAGGCAUAAAGCUAACAAUCCAUAUUUCAUCAACACAUUUAAAGAGACAAACAUGGUGAUUGUGGAUUCAUAGUUUAUCAAUGUCAUUCCAUUUCAUACAUUUCUCCCAUUCGUACUCUAUAUGUCUUGUAGGGUAAGGGAUCCGAUAUCCGAAAGGUUACUUGAUUGAUAA